rnacentral:rRNA from 1 species
GCUAAUACCGGAUAAAAGCUACUUUCGCAUGAAAGAAGUUUAAAAAGGCGGCGUAAGCUGUCGCUAAAGGGAUGGACCUGCGAUGCAUUAACUAGUUGGUAAGGUAACGGCUUACCAAGGCGAUGAUGCAUAGCCCGAGUUGAGAGACUGAUCGGCCACAUUGGGACUGAGACACGGCCCAAAACUCCUACGGGAGGCAGCAGUAGGGAAAUCUUCCACAAUGGACGAAAGUCUGAUGGAGCAACGCCGCGUGAGUGAAGAAGGUUUUCGGAUCGUAAAGCUCUGUUGUUGGUGAAGAAGGAUAGAGGUAGUAACUGGCCUUUAUUUGACGGUAAUCAACCAGAAAGUCACGGCUAACUACGUGCCCAGCACCGCGGUAAU